rfam:Candidatus Phytoplasma aurantifolia strain WBDL phyWBDL_0026, whole genome shotgun sequence.
AAUCGCCGGAUGCUGGGAAACUAGCUUGUCCGGUGGUGUGUGGGGCUUAUUAUAAUAGUUAGAAAUAAUGAAAUGUAGUAAUUCUAUCACGAUUCAAAU